rnacentral:rRNA from 1 species
GGGGGGGCAUGCGUGCUUUACCAUGCAGUCGUACGAGAGUUUUUAACUCAAGUGGCGGACGGGUGAGUAACACGUAACCAUUUGCCUUUAGGAGGGGGAUAACAACUGGAAACGGUUGCGCCUACCCCAUAUGCUUUCGAGUGAAAUGGAUUUUCCGCCUAGAGAGAAGCUUGCGGCUGAUUAGCUUGUUGGUAAGGUAAUGGCUUACCAAGGCGACGAUCAGUAUCUGGUUUGAGAGGACGAUCAGACACACUGGAACUGAGACACGGUCCAGACUCCUACGGGAGGCAGCAGUGGGGAAUUUUCCGCAAUGGGCGAAAGCCUGACGGAGCAAUACCGCGUGAGGGAUGACGGCCUAUGGGUUGUAAACCUCUUUUUUCAGGGAGGAAGAAAGUGACGUGUACCUGAAGAAUAAGCAUCGGCUAACUCCGUGCCAGCAGCCGCGGUAAGACGGAGGAUGCAAGUGUUAUCCGGAAUCACUGGGCGUAAAGCGUCUGUAGGUGGUCAAAUAAGUCAACUGUUAAAUCUUGGGGCUCAACCUCGAAAUCGCAGUCGAAACUAUUAGACUAGAGUAUAGUAGGGGUAAAGGGAAUUUCCAGUGGAGCGGUGAAAUGCGUAGAGAUUGGAAAGAACACCGAUGGCGAAGGCACUUUACUGGGCUAUUACUAACACUCAGAGACGAAAGCUAGGGUAGCAAAUGGGAUUAGAUACCCCAGUAGUCCUAGCUGUAACCAAUGGAUACUAGAUGUUGAACAGAUCGACCUGUGCAGUAUCAAAGCUAACGCGUUAAGUAUCCCGCCUGGGAAGUAUGCUCCGAAGAAUGAAAAUUCAA